CCUACGGGAGGCACCAGUAGGGAAUCUUCCGCAAUGGACGAAAGUCUGACGGAGCAACGCCGCGUGAGUGAUGAAGGCUUUCGGGUCGUAAAACUCUGUUGUUAGGGAAGAACAAGCGCUAGUUGAAUAAGCUGGCACCUUGACGGUACCUAACCAGAAAGCCACGGCUAACUACGUGCCAGCAGCCGCGGUAAUACGUAGGUGGCAAGCGUUAUCCGGAAUUAUUGGGCGUAAAGCGCGCGCAGGUGGUUUCUUAAGUCUGAUGUGAAAGCCCACGGCUCAACCGUGGAGGGUCAUUGGAAACUGGGAGACUUGAGUGCAGAAGAGGAAAGUGGAAUUCCAUGUGUAGCGGUGAAAUGCGUAGGGAUAUGGAGGAACACCAGUGGCGAAGGCGACUUUCUGGUCUGUAACUGACACUGAGGCGCGAAAGCGUGGGGAGCAAACAGGAUUAGAUACCCGCGGGUC
rnacentral:rRNA from 1 species